rnacentral:rRNA from 1 species
CCGUCUUGAAACACGGACCAAGGAGUGCAAGAGAUGCGCAAGUCGGAAGGGUUGUGUUGGGGUCUUUCCCUCGGGAUUGGCCCUGCCUGAGAGACCCAUGUGUUUGGAACGGGCGAAGUGAGAGCAAUUCAUGGGUGCGAGAGCCUCGGGGAGACCCGUGGCGCAUCGCUGGCCGAGCCUAAUGGUCACGCUGUGGCCGGUUUCGAGUGCGAGCGUAUCUGUUGCGACCCGAAAGAUGGUGAACUAUGCCUGAGGAGGGUGAAGCCAGAGGAAACUCUGGUGGAGGCCCGUAGCGGUUCUGACGUGCAAAUCGAUCGUCGCACUUGGGUAUAGGGGCGAAAGACUAAUCGAACCAUCUAGUAGCUGGUUCCCUCCGAAGUUUCCCUCAGGAUAGCUGGAGCUCGUUCCGAGCAGUUUCGUCGGGUAAAGCGAAUGAUUAGAGGUAUCGGGGUUGAAAGGACCUCGCCCUAUUCUCAAACUUUAAAUCGGCGAGAAGGGGCGUCUUGCCUGCCGGAAGACGUUCCUCGAAUGCAGGGGCUCCAAGUGGGCCGUUUUUGGUAAGCAGAACCGGCGAUGCGGGAUGAACCGAACGCUGGGCUAUGGCGCCGGAGUCGACGCUAAGCAGAUACCAGGAAAGGUGUUGGUUGAUCCAGACAGCAG